AUACUUACCUGGCAGAGGAGACACCUUGAUCAUGAAGGAGGUUUUCCCAGGGUAAGGCUCAUCUAUUGCACUGCCGGUGUGCCGACCCCUGCGAUUUCCCCAAUAUUAAUUAAUAAAUAAAUAAAUUACAUAC